rnacentral:rRNA from 1 species
CAUCCUGCAGGCGACGAUAACACGUUAGAUACCUUGCGUCCUCACGUAAACGAGUCGAAUGGAGGUCGUCCCUGAGGCUACCUUCUGGAGUUAACGCCUUAGUCGACCGCGUGGGGAGUGCGGCAGCAAGGUAAAAAUCAAAUGACUUGACGGGUGCCAUCACAAGCGGUGGAGCAUUUGGUUUUAUUGGAGUCAACGCGAAGAACCCUAUCUGGUCUUGACAUCCACAGAAGUUUUCAGAGAUGUAUUGGGCCUUGGGGAUCUUGAACAGGUCAUGCAUGGAUGUCGUUAGCUCGUGUUGUGAAAUCCUGGGUUAAGUCCCGUAAUGAGCGCAAUCCUUAUCUUUAGCUGCCAGCGUUUCGGCCGGGAUCUCAAAGGAGACUGCCAGUGCUAAAGUGGAGGAAGGUGGUGAUGACGUCAAGUCAUCAUGGCCUUUACGACCAGGGCUACACACGUGCUACAAUGGCGCAUAUAAAGAGUAGCGACGUCGCGAGAUCAUGUGGACAUCAUAAAGUGGGUUGUAGUCCGGGUUGGAGUUUGUAACUUGACUCCAUGAAGUCGGAAUGGUUAGUAAUCGUGGAUCAGAAUGCCACGGUGAAUACGUUCUCCGGCCUUGGUACACACCUCCCGUCACACUAUGGGAGUGGGUUGCAAUAGAAGUAGGUAGCUUAACCUUGGGGAGCGUGCAUAUCACUUUGUGAUUCAGGAUUGGGGAGAAGUGGUAACAAUCUAACC